CUCGCAUCGAUGAAGAACGCAGCGAAAUGCGAUAAGUAAUGUGAAUUGCAGAAUUCAGUGAAUCAUCGAAUCUUUGAACGCACCUUGCACCCUUUGGUAUUCCGAAGGGUACACCCGUUUGAGUGUCAUUGUAAUCUCACUUCAAAUACUUUUGUGUUUGAAUGUGGACUUGGAUGUUGCCGUGUUAUUACGGCUCGUCUCAAAUGCCUGAGUGUACCUUGCUUUUGCAAUGUAUCCGGUGUAAUAAACAUUUCACCAGAGCCAAGUCGCAAGACUGCAUUACAGAGUAAGCUCUAUGCUUCAAACCGUCCUUUUAGGACAAUCUCUGACAAUUUGACCUCAAAUCGGGUGGGACUACCCGCUGAACUUAAGCAUAUCAAUAAGCGGAGGAAAAGAAACU
rnacentral:rRNA from 1 species